rnacentral:rRNA from 1 species
GACGAACGCUGGCGGCGUGCCUAAUACAUGCAAGUAGAACGCAGUUGCGAACGGGUGAGUAACGCGUAGGUAACUGCCUCAUAGCGGGGGAUAACUAUUGGAAACGAUAGCUAAUACCGCAUACUGUGAGAUGGACCUGCGUUGUAUUAGCUAGUUGGUGAGGUAAAGGUUCACCAAGGCGACGAUACAUAGCCGACCUGAGAGGGGGGUCGGUCAGACAGUGAGUGAGACACAGGCCAGACUUGUACGGGAGUCAGAAGUAGGGAAAUUUCGGCAAUGGACGGAAGUCUGACCGAGCAACACCGAGAGAGUGAAGAAGGUUUUCGGAUCGUAAAGCUCUGUUGUUAGAGAAGAAGUAACUAACCAGAAAGGGACGUCUAACUACGUGCCAGCAGCCGCGGUAAUUC